UACAGAGGUCCCAAGCGUUGUUCGGAUUCACUGGGCGUAAAGGGUGCGUAGGUGGUGAGGUAAGUCGGAUGUGAGAGCUCGGAGCUCAACUCCGAAAUGGCAUUGGAAACUACCUUGCUUGAGGAAUGGAGGGGGGACUGGAAUUCUCGGUGUAGCAGUGUAAUGCGUAGAUAUCGAGAGGAACACCAGUGGCGAAGGCGAGUCCCUGGACAUCUCCUGACACUGAGGCACGAAAGCUAGGGGAGCAAACAGG
rnacentral:rRNA from 1 species